rnacentral:rRNA from 1 species
GCUUGCACCUGAUUGACGAUGGAUCACCAGUGAGUGGCGGACGGGUGAGUAACACGUAGGUAACCUGCCCCGGAGCGGGGGAUAACAUUUGGAAACAGAUGCUAAUACCGCAUAACAACGAAAGCCACAUGGCUUUUGUUUGAAAGAUGGCUUUGGCUAUCACUCUGGGAUGGACCUGCGGUGCAUUAGCUAGUUGGUAAGGUAACGGCUUACCAAGGCGAUGAUGCAUAGCCGAGUUGAGAGACUGAUCGGCCACAAUGGAACUGAGACACGGUCCAUACUCCUACGGGAGGCAGCAGUAGGGAAUCUUCCACAAUGGGCGCAAGCCUGAUGGAGCAACACCGCGUGAGUGAAGAAGGGUUUCGGCUCGUAAAGCUCUGUUGUUGGAGAAGAACGUGCGUGAGAGUAACUGUUCACGCAGUGACGGUAUCCAACCAGAAAGUCACGGCUAACUACGUGCCAGCAGCCGCGGUAAUACGUAGGUGGCAAGCGUUAUCCGGAUUUAUUGGGCGUAAAGCGAGCGCAGGCGGUUGCUUAGGUCUGAUGUGAAAGCCUUCGGCUUAACCGAAGAAGUGCAUCGGAAACCGGGCGACUUGAGUGCAGAAGAGGACAGUGGAACUCCAUGUGUAGCGGUGGAAUGCGUAGAUAUAUGGAAGAAACACCAGUGGCGAAGGCGGCUGUCUG